rnacentral:lncRNA from 1 species
AUUCAUAUGGCCGGCCAAAGAAGAACAAAGGAGGAAAAGAAAAAAACAAGAACCCUAGGUGGGAAAAUUGAAGAAAAAGUGUAGGAUUUCAAGGGAUUAAGCUAAUAAAGGUAAAAUAUCUUGAUUUUGACUUGUGAUUUACACAACGCAUGCUUUCUUUUUCAUUUUCCAUGCUUAGAUUUCAUGUUUUCAUGGUGAAUUCAUGGCUGGUUGGAAUGGGUAUGGAGAGAGAAUGAAGUUGGAUUGAUUUGAUUAUAAGUUAUGUUAGUGUUUUUAGUUAGUUUAUCAUGUCUAGAAACAAAACAACAAGAAAAGAAUUCAUUUUCCCCAUCAACCAUCAAUGGCCGAAUUUCCUAGGGAGGAUAUUGUGGCUGAAAUUGAUGUUGUUUCAUGAUAUUUUGGUGAUAUUUGAUGUUUAGUGAGACUAGAAAUUAAAAGAGAAAUUUUGGUGUGAAAAUAUGAAUUUUUGCUCAACGUAUAGACAAGUGUGAUUAUUAAUCCAGGAUUGAUAAAUUGAAUCUCAUUCACAGUCACUGAGGUAAUUUAGGUAUAAUUGGAGUGUAGAUAGUGAGAAGAAUUGAUUUGGACUUAAAUUAGAGAUUUUAACCGAUUAGACCAAGUAUAGUGUGGUUUAGGUUGAAUAUCAUAUUUAAGCGAUUAAUCGGACAUUUUGCAUUCUAUAUCAUGCAUUAGUAGUCUAAAUUAGUUUAAUUUCAAUUUAGUACCAAUGUAGUAAGUUUCUCGAUUUUACACUGUGUCAAGGUGGUGAGCCCUUUAACAAGGGUAAAGAGAUUGUGCUCGAAGACCGGGAAUAAGAGUAUAUCGAACUCCUAGUACUGUGAGUAACCUUAUCAUCAUUUUAAUUAUCUAAAGUAUGUUUUAAUUCUAGUUUGGUGAAAUUGUAUGAAAAUAAUUUUAAAUGGUUAAUUUUAGGUUUUAUAAACAAAAAUGAGUUUAAAUGAAAAUAUUUUAUAAAUUGUCUUGAAACAAAAUAACGAUUUUGAAAAUAGAAUAAUUGGAGACCACUGAUAUGUUGUAAAUUUAAAAUUGAAUUAAUGGCUUAUGUUAUUGUAUUGGCAUGACUGGCUGGGCUGUGUUUUUAUGAAUUGUAUGAAUUGUUUUAUUUUACCCUUGCAGGCUAGGUAGUAAUAUAUUAACCCUGUCAUGCUGUCAAAAUUUUAUUGUAUGGUGGGUUUGACCUGCUGCAGUGGGUUGGGUUCUGUGGACUAGCCUAUUAGAGGGGCACGAAAUUCUGUUAUAUUUUACCCCGGUUGGAGAGGCGAGUAGGGUAACUCGCGAGGUAUAACUUUUAGAGUUCAUUUCACGCCAAACCACCAUGUGAGGGGGAACUCGGCCAACGCCAAGGAAUAACUCUAUUUUUAAAAUAAAAACAUGAUUUAUGCGUACAUAAUUUUUAAUAGCCUUGGCGGACUCGGUUUGGGAUAGCCCUCGGCCAAGGUAUCCUAGAUAAUUGAGUAUGAUAAUAAUUUUUUGCAUGAGCCAAGCUUUUUGAAAAAUUCAUAAGCCAUACUGAUUACUUGAUUUAAAUAAAUUGAUUUUUUUUUGUUGAAAUAAGUUGAAAAGGGAUAAAUUACAGUUUGAUUAAAUGUUUUAAUAGUCUCAUUUUACUCGCCUUUAGAUAUUUUAAAUGAUAUUUGUUUACUCACUGAGAUUUUAUAAUCUCACCACUCUCCAUUCCACCCAAUUCAAGCAUCAGGAUAGUCGAUAAAUAGCUCAUUUCAUUGAGGACUACAAUUGGAUUGGCAUCCUCAAAAUAUGUAGGUUCAAUUCUUUUAACACUUUUAGUCGUUCGUGGGCCCACGUGUCACUGCAAAUCUAAUUUUAUACUUUGGUUAUCUAUAUUACAAUAUAUAUGAAUUUAUUUUGCAUUUUUGCUGUAAAAAUUAUUUACGCAGUGUUCUAAAAAUAUUGUUUUAUUAGAAAAUUGAAUAUUUUAUUCUAUAUCUUUAUUAUAUUUAAAUAGUUAUAAUUUCAUUUUAAAUGAAAGUUCUAGACGUUUAAAUUUAUUUUUGAUUAUGAAUUAUGUGUUUUAUACUUGUAUACUACAUUUUUAACUGGUUUCGAAACUUUUGAGGAAAAAUGACCAAAAUGCCCCUAUGAGACAGAAAUCAUUUUUUUAUUAAUUUCAGUUGGAAAUAGCUUAAAUUCUUUUAGAACAUGAUAUUUGGUAAUGGUUGCUCACCGGGAAAAGAGAAACUGAUAUUAAAGCCUUACGGGGUUUCGAUUGACAAUUUGGGUAAUGAGUGUCAAUCGGGACAACGCAGUGGUUGUUACGGGCUCGCUGGUAGUUCCAGGUCGUGACACAUGUGGAGCAUGUAUCUAUACAUUUUCAAUAGAAAUCUACAUAAAGUGUUUUGUGUGGAAUGUAUCGAUACAUUCUCAAAAGUAUUGGUACAUGAGGAGCACUUAUUGAUACAUUUUCAAUAAAAAGCUAUAAAAGGUGUUCCGUGUGAAAUGUAUCGAUACAUUCUCAAAAGUAUCGACAGUUUUCUUACAUGUAUUGAUACAUUCUAGAAUGUUUCGAUAAAAUUGUUGCAAAACAGGAUUUCCAAGUGGUUUUAAGUGGUUUUCAAGGAUAAAUGAGUUCUAAUAUUUUAAACAAAGUUACUUUCCAUGUAAUGUUUUGUAGAGGAUGUUUAAAAUGCUAUGUUAUAAGAUUAUUAUGGUAAUGAUGGUCAAUUCAUGAAUCUUAUGUAUUUACAAUUGCAUGGUUAUGAAAAACUCUUCUCCUUGGCUUGUCCUUUCCUCAUAUUCACUCAUGGAAUCUUUGUGACUCACACAUUAUUUUCCCUCACUAUUUUGUUACAGAUUGGUGAUAGCACUCUCUUUUUAGCAGCUAGUGUCAUGGAGACAUGAUCCAUUCAUUCUUCACUGGUAGCUAUCUAUUAGCGUCUUGAUGCCCAGCGAGUUGGGUCAUUUUUCCCUAACGAGUCCAUCUAUGUUAUGUUUAUGUUUAUAGACUAUGAACGUUUUUUAAUGGAUUAUGAUUAUGAUAUGAUGAUGAAGCCAUAUGUUUAGGCAUAUUACAUUAUGAAUGUUAUGUUAAACAUAUAAGGUGGCUUAAGAGGCCAUAUGGACACUUGAGGGUGUUGAGACAUGUAAAUGAUAUGGUGCACUAAGAACAUGGCAUUCUAAUGAUAUAUCAAAUGUUUGCACUUAAACUAAUAUGUUGAGAAGUUCCAUAUAUGUGCAAUGUUGUGUUUGAUGGUAUGCAUGAGUUGAUAUUGUAUGCCUAUGGAUGUUUAUGUAUGCUUCCGCAUUGAUGAAUGUUUAAUGAUGAAUGUUAAAAAGGCUUGCUUAGGCCUAGUGGGCUAUAGUGGUCUAGGUUUACGCACUGGUCAUGUUCCAUCACAAAAUGAGAUGUGACAAAGUUAGUAUUAGAGCUUUAGGUUCUUAAAGUCCUAGGCAUUGUUUGGUUGUCAACGAAAUGUUGAAGUCAUGUAGAAAUCUUGUUUUUGUUUUAUGUACCCAAGCACAAAUUGAAAACGGGAAACCCAUAUAUAAUUCCUUGUUUGUCCACCCACUAUACGCUGUAGAGAUAUGUCUAGUAUUAUUGUGAGUCUAUAAUAUUGAGUCUUACGGUAUAUGUUGCAUUUGUCUAGGUGAGAUAUAUUACCGAGGACAUGGGCUAGUGCUAGAGGUGUGGCAAAAUGCAAGGGUCUUAGAGAUACUACUGAUAGACCAUGUACACCCAUUGCUAAGGGCUGUGGUAGAUGUGGCAGGGCAACUAGUACGUGGAGGAUUCAUACCCCCACCAGUGUACAAAUAGAUGGAUAGGGUUUCAAAGUAAUAGUUGAUGGACAAGCUUUUGAGGUUGUAGCUCCCUUAGAGAGGGCAGUGACCUUAGAAGAUCUAGCCACAGGCUUACAGACGGUCAAUUAAACUAUGGAGCUUUUGGCUUAGGAGAUAUUGGAUCAUGGGCAACGAGGUGGUGAUCACCAUAGUAUUCUAGCAUCCCCUAGUCAUAAAGACAAGAUGACUAGCCACAAGCUAGCUUGGUUAGUGUUGUGAUUGAGGUUUAGCUAUCAGAGUUCAUGAAGCUGAAACCUUCUACGCUUAAGGAGACAAGAUGAUAUGUGUGACACAAAGAUUUUCAAAUUGUUUACGAAUCUACUAUGUAUGUAAAUAUGUUACUAUGUAUUAGUUUUCAACAAAAUGAGACAAGCUUUUUAAUGUUUGUAGUCCACUCGAUUACUCUAACUUUCGAGCUAGUGUGGAUACGAGAUAUUUCUAUGGUUAAUGUAUGAAUGUUAUUAUGCACAUGUUAGAUACAACCUAGCAUGAUAAAAAUGUUGGGCAUGAGUUCCAUUUAUGAGAUUGUAACAUGUAUGCCAUGAAAUAUAUGUGUUAAGCAUAUCAUGUACACCAUAGGCUAAACAUGUGAGUGAUUUAUGAGGUUAUGAAAUGCAU